GAUGAACGCUGGCGGCGUGCCUAAUACAUGCAAGUCGAGCGAACGGACGAGAAGCUUGCUUCUCUGAUGUUAGCGGCGGACGGGUGAGUAACACGUGGAUAACCUACCUAUAAGACUGGGAUAACUUCGGGAAACCGGAGCUAAUACCGGAUAAUAUUUUGAACCGCAUGGUUCAAAAGUGAAAGACGGUCUUGCUGUCACUUAUAGAUGGAUCCGCGCUGCAUUAGCUAGUUGGUAAGGUAACGGCUUACCAAGGCAACGAUGCAUAGCCGACCUGAGAGGGGGCAGGCCCACCCGGGAACGGAGCCCCGGCACAGCACCCACGGGAGGGCAGAGGUGGGGAAUUUUCCGAAAGGGGGAAAAGCGUGACGGAGAAACGCCGGGGGGGUGAUGAAGGUCUUCGGAUCGUAAAACCUUUUUUUUGGGGAAAAACAAUUUUGUAAGUAACGGUGCACAUCUGAGGGGAACCAAAUAAGAAAGCCACGGCAACCUCCGG
rnacentral:rRNA from 1 species